rnacentral:rRNA from 1 species
UACGGGAGGCAGCAGUGGGGAAUAUUGCACAAUGGGCGCAAGCCUGAUGCAGCCAUGCCGCGUGUAUGAAGAAGGCCUUCGGGUUGUAAAGUACUUUCAGUCGUGAGGAAGGUGUUAAGGUUAAUAACCUUAGCAAUUGACGUUAGCGACAGAAGAAGCACCGGCUAACUCCGUGCCAGCAGCCGCGGUAAUACGGAGGGUGCGAGCGUUAAUCGGAAUUACUGGGCGUAAAGGGCACGCAGGCGGUUAAUUAAGUUGGAUGUGAAAUCCCCGGGCUUAACCUGGGAAUGGCAUUCAAGACUGGUUAGCUAGAGUCUUGUAGAGGGGGUAGAAUUCCAUGUGUAGCGGUGAAAUGCGUAGAGAUGUGGAGGAAUACCGGUGGCGAAGGCGGCCCCUGAACAAAGACUGACGCUCAUGUGCGAAAGCGUGGGGAGCAAACAGGGAUUAGAUACC